rnacentral:rRNA from 1 species
GACGAACGCUGGCGGCGUGCUUAACACAUGCAAGUCGAACGAAAAGAGGGAAAGCGCUUGCUCUUUCCGGAAUUGAGUGGCAAACGGGUGAGUAACACGUAAACAACCUGCCUUCAGGAUGGGGACAACAGACGGAAACGACUGCUAAUACCGAAUAAGUUCCAAGGGCCGCUUGGCCCAUGGAAGAAAAGUUGGCCUCUACCUUUAAGCUAUCGCCUGAACAUGGGUUUGCGCCGGAUUAGCCGGUUGGAGGGGUAACGGCCAACCAAGGCAACGUAAAGUAGCCGUCCGGGGAGAUUGACCGCCCACAUGGGAUUGGGAACCGGUCCAGAAUUCCUACGGAGGGAGCCGUGGGGGAAUUUCCGCCAAGGGGGGAAGGCCGACGGAGGCACGCCGCGUGGGUGGAGGCGGCCUUUGGGUUGUAAAACUCUGUUAUCCGGGACGAAAAGGCAGAGUGCGAAGAACAAACUGUAUUGACGGUACCGAAAAAGCAAGCCACGGCUAACUACGUG